rnacentral:tRNA from 2 species
CGAUGCGGGCGGGGAGCACCUCGUUUACACCGAGGGGGUCGUAGGUUCGAGUCCUACAUUGUCCA